AGCUUUAUAGUCAAUUAUGAUAUUAAAUUGCAAAUUUAAAGGAGUAAGUUAUUACUAAGGCUU
rnacentral:tRNA from 1 species